UGCAAGUCGAACGAAGUAGCAAUACUUAGUGGCAGACGGGUGAGUAACAUGUAGGUAUCUUCCCUUUGGUGAGGAAUAACACGAGGAAACUUGUGCUAAUACCUCAUAAGUCUUUACGGAGAAAGCUUUAUGCGCCAUUGGAUGAGCCUGCACUUGAUUAGUUUGUUGGUGGGGUAAUGGCCUACCAAGACAAUGAUCAAUAGCUGAUUUGAGAGGAUGAUCAGCCACAUUGGGACUGAGACACGGCCCAAACUCCUACGGGAGGCAGCAGUAGGGAAUCUUGCACAAUGGGGGAAACCCUGAUGCAGCGAUGCCGCGUGAGUGAAGAAGGCCUUUGGGUUGUAAAGCUCUUUCGUCGGGGAAGAAAAUGACUGUACCCGAAUAAGAAGGUCCGGCUAACUUCGUGCCAGCAGCCGCGGUAAUACGAAGGGACCUAGCGUAGUUCGGAAUUACUGGGCUUAAAGAGUUCGUAGGUGGUUAAAAAAGUUGGUGGUGAAAUCCCAGAGCUUAACUCUGGAACUGCCAUCAAAACUUUUUAGCUAGAGUAUGAUAGAGGAAAGCAGAAUUUCUAGUGUAGAGGUGAAAUUCGUAGAUAUUAGAAAGAAUACCAAUUGCGAAGGCAGCUUUCUGGAUCAUUACUGACACUGAGGAACGAAAGCAUGGGUAGCGAAGAGGAUUAGAUACCCUCGUAGUCCAUGCCGUAAACGAUGUGUGUUAGACGUUGGAAAUUUAUUUUCAGUGUCGCAGCGAAAGCAAUAAACACACCGCCUGGGGAGUACGACCGCAAGGUUAAAACUCAAAUGAAUUGACGGGGACCCGCACAAGUAGUGGAGCAUGUGGUUUAAUUCGAAGAUACGCGCAGAACCUUACCAACACUUGACAUGUUCGUCGCGACUUUAAGAGAUUAAAGUUUUCGGUUCGGCC
rnacentral:rRNA from 1 species